UGGGAGAUGCCCUGGUAAACAGAUCACCCA
rnacentral:piRNA from 1 species